rnacentral:RNase_P_RNA from 1 species
AGAGCAGGACAGAUGACCGCCGCUUUGCCCUGUGGCGGAGGGGAGGAAAGUCCGGGCUCCAUAGGACAGGAUGCUGGAUAACGUCCAGUCCCGGUGACGGGAAGGAAAGUGCAACAGAAAGGAAACCGCCCGAUAUGAAUGGCCUUGUGCCACUCCGUCGGGUAAGGGUGAAAGGGUGAGGUAAGAGCUCACCAGUCCCGCCGGUGACGGCGGGAGCUAGGUAAACCCCAUCCGGAGCAAGACCAAAUAAGGGGAGUUUGAGGGUGGUCCGCCCGAAUCCCCGGGUAGGUCGCUUGAUCUUGACGGUAACGUCAGGGCUAGAUGAAUGGUCAUCGUCCCGAAUCGCGCAUUGCGUCCCUUCGAGAAACAGAACCCGGCUUAUGGCCUGCUCUAACA